GGUUCGAUGGUGUAGUUGGUUAUCACGUCUGUCUCACAUUAGCUCGUGGUCACAGGAGGUCUCCGGUUCGAACCCGGGUCGAACCA